UUUUUUUUUUGUUAGGUAUUAGCCUUUCAACUUUGUCUGGUCAAACAUCACAUGCAUCAACUGAGAAGUGAGAAACAAUGUCAUAAUUCCAUAUUAAAUUCGAGAAUAAUACUCACAAAUGUGAGCACACAUAUAUACACUAUUGGCGAAGUGACGAACGGUGAUAUUUUCACAUUAUAAAAUAAAUACAAACUUUCCAAAGUUGAAAGAGUAAGAGAUUUUACGUCAGACAGUAUUUUAUUAAAUAAAUUAAAUUUAAAUUUUUAUGUAUUGAAAAAAUUAUAAAAUUUAUACGUUUUUAUUAAGGUAAUAUAAAACUUGUAUUACUCUUUUUCCCCUCAAAAAUAUCUCGUAAGAAGUUUAUAUUUAUUUGCGUGAAAAAAUUAUGAACCAUAUCUUUUACUUUUUAGUUUCAUAUGUUUGUAAGAAAACAUAAAUACAUUAUACAUACAUAUAUCAUCAAUCAUGAUCCUCCUCCUUCAAAGUUCACUAAAAUAGUUAAUUUCAUUGUGUAAAUAAUCUACACAAUCGUGGUCUAUAUAAAUGUAGUUGUAACAAGAAGUUGUAAUGGUUUGUAGUUGGCUAAUUAAGUUAUUAUAGGAAACUAAAAACAGUUUUCUGUUUAUUUAAUAUCUGAGAUACCUUUUUUUUAAAAAAAAAAAUAAUAACUUUUAAAUCAUGUACUAAUAAAUAAUUAAUUAUACCAUAUGUCCAAUACUACUGCAUUGGUUUAUAAUUUAUAUUGGUUUAACUUAAUCAAAACUUUUUUGUAAUAAAUAUUUAUAAUUGUUUCUUUGUUUUUAUUUGCUAAUUGUAAAAGGAGCUUUGAUGACUGUCUUUUCUCUUAAUCCAACAUCUAAAUUUAUGUUUUUGUGAAAAGAUUGAACAGGCACAAUCAAUUUUUCUAAAUACUAAAAGAUGAAUUAAUAUAUAUAUUGAUUAAAAGAUACAUAUGGCUAAUCAGUAAAUGUACUUCUAUAAAAAAUUAUUUUGACAAAAAAUAUUCUCAACAACAAUUUUUUAAAAAGUAAUCGAUCAAACUCGAGACAUUGUGAUAGAAUUAACAAAAUAAAGUAGAUAAAUUGAAUAAAGAAUGAAUUUUUUUUUCUAAUUUGUGUGACAUCGUUAUAUUACUUUCCCCGGCAUAAAAGAUACAUAGGUUAAAAACAUAUGUUUGAUAGCGGAGCGAAUUGAAAGAUAAUAAACAAUAUAUAACCGAUAUCUAGUUUAGGUCCAACUCAACAACAACACUAGACACAUCAUUAUUAAAGCAUUUCAAGAGAUAAUAUUUUAAUAAACUGAAAAUACGAAAUAAAUGAUACAAACUCAUUUAAUUCUGAAAUGACGAAAUCAAUUAACAUGUCAACAAUCGAUCAAGAUAAGCUUGAUCUACAACAAUACCAAAGAGUAUUUCGGAAUUUGUUCCUCUAGUUUUGUAACCACAUAUAUAACAACUUUAUCAAUCAGAUAAUAUAUAGUAAUAGUUAUUACAGAGGGCAUACAACACGAAACACGUCACUUGAGAUUACAUUAUAUAUAAAUUCAUCACUAUUUCCCUGAUCACUUACAUGGUAUUUGUUUUUCAUCACAUUUACUAUAUUCUGUACAGUAACUUAAACACUAAAGUAUCUUUCUACGAUAUUGUUUGACAAUUUCAUAUAAGAUAAUUCAAUUAAAAUAAAUUAUACGCUUCUAUCCGUUGCUUUAUAAUAUUAUUUAAGGUAUAAUACAUAAAUAUGUCUUUUUAACUUAACCUUAUUUCACAUUUAUGUUCUUUAAUUUUGGAUAUGCACAAAUAAAUACUUAAAUUUGUAUAAACUUAAACAAGUAGAUACGUGAGUCCUACAUGGCACAAUACACGUAGGACAAAAAUGAGAUGUAGGAUGUCAAUGUAUGACAUGUGUGUCUAUUUGUUCAACUUUAUAUAAAUUUAAGUGUUUACUUGUACACAACCAAACUUGAAGGACAUUAAUGUGAUUUGAAACUAAGUUACAUAUUUAUGUAUUUAGUUAAUAUUUAUUAUAAGUUUUAUAGCACUUUGGAGCAUGAACGGGUGUCGAACUUAAAUUGUUGAUAACUUUUAUAUAAUUUAUUUCUUCUAGUUUUCAUGUGAUAGUAUAACCUUUGUUAUUUUAAAUUAUUUUUCAUUAGAUAUAUUACUUCAAAUAUGUCAAAUUUCUUCUAUUAAUCCCUUUUUUUUCAUAAAAUAUCUAUCUCUUUAACAAAUAAUAUUCAAUAUUUAUUUAAAAAUAAUAACUUAUAGCCUAUUAUUAUAAAAAAAAUAAAGCCCCUUAAAUUUGAGAGCUAAGACAUAUAUGCUUUUUUUAACACGAUCAAGCGACCCCUACUUUGGAGCGUAAUAUUUGUUCAUUUGCAACAUUAUGUCCAAAUACAAAUCAGUUUUUAAUUUGAAUCGCUAACGUAUGAAAUAUUACUAGUAAAUUAUUAUUAUUAUGAAUUACUAAUUUAGGUUAAGCAAUAGACUGAAUAAUAGUUACUCGCAAGUUGCAAUAUCGGAAGGGGUAUAAAGGUUCACGACUCACGCGUGUAGAGAUCCAGUGGUCCCUUUUUUUUUGAAACCGAUAAAGAAGUGGGAAACAAAUUCCUCCGUCACAUACGGCCAAAGGCGGAGGAGAUACUACUGGUCGGAAGUCUCGGAUAAACGGAAAUGGUUAACUCAAAAAACAACUCUUCUACCGACAGCGAAAAUUCCUCCGGUGACGUUCCCGACUCUAAACCUAGUCUCUACUUUGAAGGCGAGAAGGUUCUCGCUUAUCAUGGCCCUCGCAUCUACGAAGCAAAGGCACGUUUCUUGUUUUUCUCUUUUCAUCUUAUGCAGAAAUCGCUAAUUUUGUUUGGGUAUACCGUAAUUAAUUGCCGAAAUUGAAUGAUUAGGCCUUUUAUCACACGUAUCUUCCUUUGGAUUAUUCGUGUAUCUAAUUUGUCUGUAACGGUUGUGUCAUAUCUUCUCUGAUUUAUGUUUGAUAAUUGGUUGAGAUUUUUUGUCAUUUUGCUUUUCUGUUUGCUGUUAGAUAUGCACCACUUUGCAUCCGAUUGUGUGAUGAUUUCAGGGGAACUAUUAUGACUUUUGGACUGUUUCAUCCAUAUUUAAUGCUAAAUUGGCGUAGAAUUAGAGUUGCAAAUUAUACUAAUCCUGUCCUGUAAUCCAUAAUUCUGUUCGUUUUUUUAGCUUUAUGAAUAAAUUAUGGAUUGUCUCUACUGUUUGAUGCUUUUAGGUUUGCUUUAUCAUCUUAACUCAUUGCUCUACUGACUCUAAUCUAGACUUAGGGGUCAAUCUAUUGAUUUUUUCUGUGGACUCCACUCUCUCUGCUCUAAUGUCUGUUAAGCCUUCUCAAAGAUUAGGUAAACUAAACAAUUGGCAGUGUCGAAGGAUGUUACAUAUAUGAACAUCCUCAUAUAGAUUGUGGAAGGGUUCCUAAAUUGAUUUAGCGAUCUUGAGCUAGUCUCCAUCAUGAUUUUAUUUAGAUAAUCUGAUUUGCGCCCCAUAGCAAACUUUUUGGCAUGAUUGUUUUCACAUAUCAUAGAAACAAUUUUUAAUGUCUUAUAUAUUCAAUACAUUUACACUGAUUUUGUAUUUUUGUGCAAUCCAUGUAAAUAUGGGUUGAUCUGAGUUUAAGAACUGGGAUGAAUUUUGGAAAAUAUACUUCAACUUUUGACCUAUUCCAGUUACCCGAUCUUCCCUGCAAAUCAUGUUUUUGUAUGUCAAGAGAAUGCAACUCUAGACAAUAUAUGGUUCUUAUACGGAGGAUUGCUAGUUUCACCUCUUAUAGUUAUGCACUAGUGUAUUUCUGACAGGAUAUAGUGUGUGAUAUGUAGGUCAGAUGCACAUCAUGGGUUCGAAUCCUACCAUAGACAAAGGCCUGAUAUUUAAGUGGAAAAGGGUAGAGGGGCAGGUUCAUUAUCCACUGAGUUUUGAACCAUACACCACUAGCCGUUGGAAAUUUCUCAGUUAUUAAAAAAAAGUACUACUCAGCUUAUUGAAAUUACAUAUUAGUGAAUAAUUUGAGUUGUUGGGAUUAGUUUUGGCUUCGUUGAUAUAGGACAAUUGAAGUACUAAGUUUGCAAAUGUUGUUGUUAUUUGUGUAUUUUCUCUAAAGCUCGAACUUUACUUUGAGAAUGCUUGCACUUUGCUCUUGCUUAUAACUCUCAAAAUCGUGUUGUUUGUUUACACUUGUGACAAUUGAAAAUACCAAUUGUGUAUAAGUUUUUUCUUACAAGAGAAAGCUUCAUUUCCUCUAUAUGGAAAACAAUUAGUGUACGGUGAUAUAGUGCUUGCCUUCUACAAAUUGUAGCGCCCUGAUGAAAUCAUGUUAUUUAAUGCUUGCUACAAGAUUUUUGCGACCCUCCAAUUUGAUCCUUGCAUUUCUUCUUUGAAGGUCCAAAAAGCAGAGCUGCGGAAGAACGAAUGGAGAUACUUCGUUCAUUACCUUGUAAGUUUAAAUUUAUAUCUUCUUUCACCAUAUGCUUUACAUAUGACAAUUAAAUUUGGUACUUCUUUAGUUAAAAGAUGUGAGAAAGCUUGUAGCAUAGCCUUACAUUAUUACCUUGUUUAAAAUUUUUUCAAUAUUCUUAAUGAUAUCGAGAAAUAAUACUCCUUUUAUUUAUUUUAAUUUACAGGGCUGGAACAAAAAGUGAGUUUAUGAAGUUACUUGUAGAAAGUUCUUAAUUCAAGAGUAUCUUAAAUUGCUAGUCACAUCAGGAUUGAAAGGUUGACCAACUCAUUUGAAUGUUGAAUGUGCUGCCUUAAAAGUUUUUUCUUUGAAUGUUCUGCUCCGAAGGAGCUUGGCCUUGAGCAAGAGGCAUAGAGUAAUUUGAUGCUUCCUUGUUGAUUAUGGUGAUUAUUUUACAAAUUAUAUGUGGAAGGUUGUGCUGCUCUGGAUUUAAAGUGCAAUUGUGAAUACAUAAUUUUGAUUUGCAUAGCAUCAGGUAGCACAAUGAAUUUGGUCUUUGGAUAUUAAUAGCGAAGUUUUAUCAUUUUAACUACAUGCUCCUUUUGUUUCAAAUUUAGUGUUCAUCUCUCCAUUUUGAUCUUUUGGGAGAAUAUUUUCAUUUUCUGUAAAUGGGAAUGAUUCGAAGAUUUAAUACUUUACAUGGGGAUCUACCUUUACUCUGAUCCUUAAGCACUUUCUUUAUGUUAUUCUAACAAACAUUUGCCAAUAUUUCAAAUAAUCCUAAUUCCUAUCUUCCCAUAUAAAUUCAAACAAUGAUGUUGAAAUAGAAAAGGACUGAUAACAAGUUCUCUCAGCUUUUUUGCCUGUGUAAUAAGGACUAAUUCAAUAGACAUUCAUGAUUUCACUGUUCUCCCCCUGUCUUAUUGUGCAUGGUACUUUUACUAUUUAGAUACUCAAGCUCUUUCUUUGGACUACAGUUUUUUUACAAUAUUUUUAAUUUAAAAAAUCAUUUACAAAUGUUUGUAACUUCGUAAAUUUAUUCAAAAAAAUUAAGCAAUUGAUGGUUAAAUUUUUGCUCUGAAAUUACAUUCUAUGACUUGGUACUCCAAACCCCAUAAACUCUUUUCAGCGACAGGAAAUAAUAGCUAUUUUACAUUGCUGUGUACGUCUGGUUCUGCAGCAAAUGUGAAGCUAGUUUUUUGUGUACUUCAAUCUGAAUUUUGGAUGUUGUAGUUGUUAACUCUCUGAUUUAAAAAUAAUGAUUUACUUUCUUUUUUAGUCUGUUUCAGAAAGAUUGACCCAUUUCCUUUUUUGGCAACACUUUAGUUUUAGCUUUCCAUGUAGCAUGUUUAGGAACAUAAGAUUAGAGGACAUUUUGGUACAUUUGACAUAAAUUAAACUAGGUCCUUUUUUUUUAAACAGAGGGAGUAUUUGUUGAUUGUAAGUAUAUUCUGCAAACCCUAAUUCCUGAAACUAUGUCUUGUAACAGUUGGGAUGAAUGGGUAGGAGCUGACCGCUUGAUGAAGCACACAGAAGACAACGUCUUGAAGCAGCAGGCCCUGGACAAGAAGCAGGGCAUGGAGAAAAGUACUAAAUCUGGACGUUCAGCACCGGCAAAACCCAAAAGCUCAGCUGGUAAGUUUUCUCUAGGUUUAUAUUAGAAUGAGGGCUAUAGAUGACCAUUUUAGGUAGUUCUCUGGUCAUGGAAAUACUUUCUUGCAUAACCAUUUUUAAGUAGUUCUCAGCUGGUAUGUUUUCUCUAGGUUUAUAUUGGAAUGAAGGCUAUAGAUGACCAUUGUAGGUAGUUCUCUGGUCAUGGAAAUACUUCCUUGCGUAACAUAUCGAAAUUUAUAACACUUUUCAGGUAUCAGUAUUACUCCUGAUGCCUUUUAUAGAAGUCGAAAGUCUAUUUGGAGAAUUAGCUGAUUGAAAUAUAAUAGUCGUUUGAACCAAAUUCCAGAAGAUUAGUUUCUUAAUGAUGUUUGGUUAUGUGACUCGGAAAUAUGGAAACGUCACCAAAGUUAAGGUUGUAAAUCCUCUUUAGCAUAACUUGACAUACCAACAUGUACUCUUUUUGUUGUUCUAACUCAUGUUUUCAAUUUCGAAGUUCUCUUUGCAUAUCUAACAGUGAAUGUUAAUUACAAAACCAAAUGCCUGUCUCCUCUGAAGGAAAGAUGAUGUAACGGAGUCAAGGGUUAGGUCUAGGGAUUGAAUUCUUGUUAGUAACUUACUUUUCAUUUGCAGAUGUUAAACUGGACAAGGAAGAAACUAAGAGCAAUGGUAUGCCAUCUUAUGAUUUUGAAUUUUGUGCUUCUCCUUGAGCUCUUCUGCAUUAUUUGUUGGGGGUGGAUGGUAAUUAUGUGGCUUGGACAUUAUUCCUCCUUGAAUUGUGUUUGCUUUGAGUUUUUUUUUGUUGACACUAGUAACAUUUUGUGUUUGCUUUGAGUUAAUUUAGGCCUGAUAGUAAUAAUAAGGCCAGAAGGUAGGGAUUCCCACCGUCCUCCACAUAAGUAGAGUAGGUUGGUCUGUUAGAUAUAAAUUCCCUUUUUUGUUGGAUAAGGAAUUUUUUUCCUUAUUUUUGACUCUCCAUUUAACUUUUGUUUUUAAAGAAGCUGCAUAACCCUUCCCAAAGACCUCAUUCUGAAAGCCUCCCAGUUCCCUUUCCAAAUUAAAGAAAUGGGGCACUGAUUAAUAAAGCAUCCUUGACCUCAACCGUAACUGCGGGUACUGAUGAAUCAGGUAUCCUGAACCUCAACCCUAACUUCUUUAGAACAAUUAUUGCUGUGUGUUGCUUUAUUAGUUUCAUUUUUAGUUGUAAAACUAAUGUUUAGGAAGUAGUCUUCUUGUAUAUACUGGAAAUCUAUCCCAAACCUAAUUAUUAUGUAUUUUUUGACAUAAUAUACUUUAUUGAUUGUCUUUGUCAAAAAAAUAUACUUUAUUGAUUAUAUUUAGGCAAUGUACAUUUUUCUCAGAAAAGUUAAAUCUCAUUUUUUUAAGCCGCCUUAAUCAAAUGUUCCACUCAGAAACACCAUAUAAUCUAGUUGUAUUUCAAUUUGUCUAGCAAAUCAAUUAGAAAGCUGUAGUAAUUGCAUUUAUGAGGGUAUAAAUGAAGCAUGCUGGAUGAAUACCUUGAUAAGACACAGUUUUAGACUUAAGUAUGGAUUAUGUGACUUGGAAGACGCAAUGCAUAUACUAGGAUGUUAAGCAUAGGUGGAAGAAAAAUAAGAAAAGGAGGAAAAUCAGAAGGAUUGCCAAGAAGCAAGAUAUGAUUGCAUUGGAGAAGUAAUGAUUGUCUUUCCUAUAACAAAAGAAAGUAUAAGGGCAACAAAGGCCAUUACCUUAAAUUUUCAAUAGUUGACAUGCCUUUGACUGAGUAUACACAUAGAAUGUGGAGGCUCGUCUUUCUGUUUGUAAAAUUAAUCAGGGAUCACAAGAAACACAAAGAAUAUGGAAGAAAAUUGGUCAUUACUAGAAUUUUGUGCCUCGCUUUCUUCUUUGGCGAGGCUUGCUCAUGCAUAUUUUUCAUGUUCUACCAUAGCAAAGAGACAACUUCUUUCUUCUUGCCUUUGCAUAUGCUCUAAGAAUGCAUGUUCUGAUCACUAUUUACUACUAUGAUUGCUAGCUCAUACUCGUUAUCUAGUUUAAAUUUUGGUAUUAGAGAUCUAAUUGAGGUAAAAGAUUUGACUCUUCGACUGGCUUUUGGACAUUUAACUGAUGGAAGCUGUACCCGGGCAGUACAUAAAAUUAGUAUAGCUCAAUCAAAGUAUCCAGUUCCAUUCAAAUCCCCUGAUGAUAACUUAUACAAAAGGUUUUGGGUUAUCAGAUCAAAUCAAAUGUUAAAGACCUUGAUAACUGUGGAGAAUCCCACUCAAAAUUCUCACUGUUGUGGGUAACAUUCAUGUGCAGUGGAUACGAUUAUUAGGAUACAUGCAAGAUGGGAAGGUAAAAGUCAAAACCUACAGUGUUCUCCUUAACUUUCCUAUUGGCGUUUGUCUACUAUGGACACUGUAAUAUUGUAGAUGAAAUAGCCUUGAGUUGGUCAAGGUGUUGACUUUGUUCUAGUCAUAUCAUGCUAUGCUGGAGUAUACCUGUUUUAUCUUAGGAUUACGUAUUACCAAAUUAGACAGAAAGAUUCUGUUAAGUAAGGUCUAUUUGAUCUGCUUAUAAGAAAAUCUAGUCUGUUAGUUUCUAUUGGGGAUUUGCUUAUAAGAAAUUUAUCUUUAAAAUUGAACUUUUCUUGCAGUUCCAAAAGGGAAAAAGCGCAAAACUGACUCAGGCGCUGAGGUUUGCUUAAUUCUAGACUCUAUAACUCACUGUUUCUUUUUCCUUUUCGAGGUAAUCGUUGACACUCUUCUUGUGUAGAGGCCCAACAUUUACUUCCAAAUAACAUUGUUGGACUAAAUCGUUAUGUAAAGUUAUUUACAUUCUGCAGAAUACUCCAUUAAUAACACCUCCAUUUUAGUCAUAUUAAGCUGUGUGAUUUAGGCACCACUAUCCCCUCCCUCUCUAAUCACACUUCUUUUUCCUUUGAAGACAUUUUUUGUUGAAAAGUUCCUCAGCUAUUAUUUAAGUGCUUCAAUCACAUCGAAGGAAGUGAUUUAAAAAGACCUGCAAUUGCUUGAUCAAUACAAACUUAGGUAAAAAUAGGGACAAUGGAAGAAAAAGAUCCAUGUAGGUGAUAGCUAUUAGUUGAGGAUAGGUAUUAGACUCGUAUGGAACUUCCUUUUUUUUUUCUGGUAAUGCGUAGUAGUAGUAGUUGUUUUUGUUGUAUAGUAUUAGUGUUUGAAAGAUAUUGAUUUGUAACUCGGUCAUUGAUGGCAGAAGGGCAAUGUAUCUGUAGAGAAACUUGUGAAGAUUCAGAUUCCAUCUACUUUGAAGAAGCAACUAGUUGAUGAUUGGGAGUUCAUCAUGCACCAGAAUAAGGUAUAUAUGUGUAGGAUAAUGACUAAGUCUAUAUGUCGUAUUUUCUGUUGGCAAGCUCAUUAGCAGUUGAAGACACAAGUGACUCAAAAAGAUCUUGGAUUCCUCUGUUUCGAUUUCUAGUGUUUCAUGGAGAUUGACUCCUAUAAAAAAAAAUUUAUCAAGUAAUAUAGUUCCAGUCAUAUUAUUAAGGUUGCUUAGCGGGAGCCGUGCUCCAACAAGAACCGAGUCCUAGUAUUGGACACAUUGUGGAUGUAAGUAAAGCGUUGUCUUGUAAGGUUGAUGGAUUGGAGCAUAGAUGGAAAAUGGGAAACCCAUAAUAGAGCAAUCAACCAGCAGUAGAAUUGCUGACUCAUCUUAUCUCAACUUGAAACCCCCCCCCCCACACACACACAAAAGGCGCAGACAAAUAGAUAAGGGCGAUGCCUAAUUUGCUUUUGAGAUCUUUGCUGAUUUACUAGACUAAGUCCCUCCCAGGCCCAGCUAAUCUGAGCAGGAAUUUUAUGAGAUUAAAUCGUACUGGAUAAUAUGACACUUAUCUGUCCUGCUACAUGUCUGUAUUCUUCCCUACAAGUGCAUGCUGGAGUUGAUCAAAUUUCUUUUCUUCAUUUUGUUCAGACUAUGUUGGUUCUUAGUGUUGGUUGCUAAAUACAAUAUUGCCAGUGAUGAUAUCUGAUGUGUUAUUCUUAACAGCUUGUGAAGCUCCCACGAUCUCCUACUGUGGAUGAUAUAUUGACCAAGUACCUUGAAUACCGAUCCAAAAAGGACGGGAUGUAAGUUCACUGCCCUUUUCUUUUCAUGUAAGGGUGGAUUUAUUGCUGAGCUGUGGUUAUGCAUCUAUGUUUCAUUCUGGUGUCCUGUAAUUUGCAUGGUCAAUGUUGGAAUAUAUUGGUUCUACCCGGUAUUUGUACCGGUAAGAGGUAAGAGGUAACAGGUAUCCGGUAGAAUUCGUUAAGGUGCGCACAAGCUGGCCUAAAAACCACCAUCAUAAAAAAGAAACAUUUGAAAGAACUAAUUGCGAAAUUGGUUCUUUCAAAUAUUUCUUUUUUAUGAUGGUGGUGUUUGGGCCAGCUUGUGGGCACCUUGACGAAUUCUACUGGACACAUGUUACCUCCUACCGGUACAAAUAUCGGGUAGCUUUGCCCACCAAGGCUUGGGCAAAUGGGAAGAAAUGACCUAGUGCUUUUUGUCUCGAUUGGAGUUGAAGUUGAGACCUCAUGGUUCUCCCCUACUUCAUGGAGCACUAGUUCAUUAUCUUUGGGGGAAAACAAGUCUUUUAACACCUUUGGGGGCGAUAUUGGUUCUUUCAAAACUUAGCUUUUAACUCUGUCAGUAAAACUCAUGCACGUUUAAGGACCUAUAGUCUAGUGUAGGAUAUUGUCGAUUCACUAAAUUAUGCUUUCUUGAUAUCAAGUUGGUAGUUGAUUUAUUGCUAAAUGGUAAGUUUUUUCACCAAAAAAAAGCAAGUUACUUUUGAUCUUGUUGAACUGCUUCUUAUCGGAUUCAUAUACACAACCAGUUAGCUUCAACUCCUAUGUGUCUGCAUUAAGUCAUUGGAAAUUACUACAGUUUCAGAAUAGACCGAGUUUCCCAUCUUGUUGACUCCUAUUUGCAGAAGUAGGUAAUAUCAAAGGCCAACAUUAUUUGCAGAAGUAUAUCAUCUCUGCUGGCCACAAGUACCUUUGCAUGAGUAGUCAAUGCAUACUGAGUGUAUUUAGUAUGGCAUAAAAUGACUUUGGAGGUAUAGUUCAUUUAAUAAAAAUGCCUUCCAAAUGUUUGAUCCUCGCAGGAUGACUGAUUCAGUUGGGGAGAUACUGAAUGGAAUUCGAUGCUAUUUUGACAAAGCACUGCCUGCACUUUUAUUGUACAAGAAGGAGCGCCAACAGUAUCAUGAAGCAGUUUCAGAUAAUGUCUCUCCAUCUAGUGUAUAUGGUGCUGAACAUCUAUUGCGCCUUUUUGGUAUGAAAAAGUACCAAGUGUUCAUGUUAUUUAAUUGACCCCAAGAGAAAGAUAUGUACCUUAGAAAAUCUCAUGUUGCAGAGGAUAAAACAGUAUAAAUUUCAUAUGUUUUUCUGUAUGCUUGUAUAUCUUUACUUAAUCAAAAGAUAUUUUCUCACAAGAUUGUAAAGUCUUAAUUUGUUUGCUGAUGUUGCAGUUGAAUCAAAAAAAAAUUGUUUAAAGUUCGGUUUUUUCAGAGGGCAAGCCUAUAUGAAUGUUCUAUCAUGUUCCGUCAAAUUAUCAAAAGAUAUUUUCUUACUAGAUUGUAUUUAAUUUGUUUGCUGAUGUUGCAGUAAAAUUGCCCGAGUUGAUUGCAUAUGCAAAAAUUGACGAGGAGUCGUUAACGAAGUUGCAACAGAAAUUUCUAGACUUUCUCAAGUAUAUGCUCUUUUCCUUUACUUCCUUCUGGACAAGAUUAUUGUUAUUAUUAUUAUUAUUAUUAUUAUGUUAUGGAAUUAUGUUGUGAUUGAAUUGCUACCUUGAAACAGCCCACAAGCUGAUGUGUUCACUGUGGGAGCUGUGUAAGGAUGGUGCAAUUUGAUAACUGCUGCAUUGGCUGGCCUUACCUAGUCUUUUUUGACUAUUGGUCUAAUCACAUGAUUCUCUUCUGGAAAGCACCAGCAAGUUCACUAGCUUAUUUUGGAUUCCUUUUUUAACUUCCAUGACAAUUUUCAAGAAAACAUCUUAAGCAUUGAGAAUAUUUAACAAUAUUCAUCUUCUUCUUUAAUUCUGAAUAUUAAGCUAGCGCAGCAAUUUCACAGUGAAUUUAACCACUAUGGUGAAGUGCCUGAAAAAGCAGUUGCAUCAGAUUUUGAUGAAAAGAAGGGUUUUUAGGUUAUCUUAAAAGGGAGAAGCCCAUUACAUGUAGCAUCCCACGUUCACGCAGGGCCCCAGGGUAGAGCCGCACCCCAAUGGGGUGUUUUAGUUUACCUUACCAGAAAAAGGGGGGUGGGGUGGGGGUGGGGGAUGUUCACUUAAAUCAUACCUUAUCAAAAGAUGAAAAAGAAAAGGGAAGAGCGUCUUAGUAUUGUAACUGAUGAAAAGUGAAAAUGAAUAAAAGAUAUCCAUAUGCUUUCUGCCUUCUGUAAGAACCAGCUCAACAGCAACAUUAAGUUAAAGAAUUCUAUUGUACAAUUUUUCUGGCUGAGAUUUGGUGCUUUGAGGGUGACUUGGAUUGAGGAAACACCUAUUAUGUUGAUGUAUCAUCUUGCAAAUGAGCUUUUACCUUGUGCUUGUGUGAUUGCAGGUUUUUGCAGAAAAACCAGGGUACUUUCUUCCUAUCUGCUUAUGAUGGUCCUAAAGCCUCUGAAGGAAAUGGCAAGGAUAAAGAAAGCUGAGCAGUCUACCAAUUUAGCUAGAAUUAGAAUGAGUCGCAUCAGAAGCAUUGGCGGUAUUUCUUGAACACGCCAAUAUGCCUACUGGUGAUGCCCGCAAUUAUAGGGCAAACUCUUUGUUGUUGUGUGUGUGAUCUGUAUCAGUAGAUCAUUUUUUAUUCCUGGAGAACUAUUCAUUUGCAACUUAUAUAGUCAGGUGAUCAACUUUCGAUAGGAGGUUCUGCCUGUUACAAUAGUUUAUUGAUUGUUGUUAAAUUGCAUGCACCUAUAGAGUUUGGUGCCACAAAAAAUCUAGAUCGUGAACUCUUUGUACUUUAAGUUACAAAGUUUAGCAGCCUCUGUACCACUUAGCUUCACCAUAGCGUAGGUGCUGAAAGGGUUUUAUUGCUAUUUUACAUUCAGAUUGGACUCAUCAACUUGGCUCUGAUGACUACAUCUGAUACUCUUGAAGGACUAUUAAUUUGCUGUUACAUAGAGCUGAUUUUAAAUUAUUAUGUGAUGUUCCGUUUCUUGUGUGGGGAUUCGUCUUAUUCUAUUUUCACUCCCUUAACGGUAGAACUCGUAAAGCAAAGACUUGGGAGCCGGCUGGCUGUGAAUAAAUUCACUUUUCGUCCAGAAUCAUGUUUGGGUUGCAUUGUUGCAAUUUUCUAGAAGUCGAAAAUUUCUUAUUCCGUUUUCACAUUUUUCACUGCAAAUCACUCGCAAAACUUCAAUAUUUUUUCAAAUUGUAUUCAUUUUCUAAUAGCAACUUAAGUUUUCGGAUACCGUCUUUUAACUUUUUUUUCAAUUUUCCUUUUUUUUUUAUGUCCAAAGCUCGUUUAGUAAACCCGAGAAUUUGGUUGGUUAUAACUUGCAAUUAAUUCGUUGCAUUUGGACUCACCUAACUUUUCGUUACAUUAUGUCUCCAAUUUUUGGUAUACUUGUCCUUAUAACUUCAUUUCUUUCCCCUUCUCGUUACAUCAUAUAAGAUUGAAAGGUAAUUUGGAUUUUAAUUUUAAUAUGCUUGUUGUGGAUUUAUGUAGAGAGUGAUAUUAGCUUUUAAAUGAAGCUCGCAGAGAUAGCAAUCAGCGUAGAAACCAAUAUUUUCAAAUCCGAAUACGAUACUCUUAGAAUAGUUUCUUAACUAUUACUACUGUACUAUUAUUAUUACUAUAUUUUCCCAUCAAAUUUUACUGUUUUAUAUUCUUUAUAAGCAAAAUAUACAUGCGGUCAAUGUGUUAAAUAUCUCCUUUGGUGGAUGUAAAAUGGGAUUUAUAGCAAUUAUUACAAAAGUAUAUCCACGAACUAUUGGCGGAUAACAAAAAUUAAUAUAUUUUGUAAUGAAAAUAGACAAAAACGUGCUUAGCUAACCAAAAAUUGUCAAACGAGUCCUUGAAAACACAAAAUGUUGACAAGUAAUCCAUGAAUAGACCAUAGCCCAAGUGAGCACAUAGUGUUGUGUAGAUGAUACAACAAUAGCCACACUCCUCAAUAGCAAUUUGCCCCAGUAUUAUUGAGAGAGAGAAAGAAGGGAACAAAAAAUGCAUUUUCAGUGAAAAUAUUCGGCAAAAAAUGGAAGCUCUGCGUCUUUCAACUUCCUUCUCAGGGAUCAAUUGUUCAAUCUACAAAUCUACAAGGAGACUCAAAGUCAACCGGAAUCUCUUGUUCUCUUCAUUGAAACCCAUAUCUUCAGUUCCAAUUCGAAGCUCCGCUCAGUUCCGUGGACGCAUCCACUGUUCUGCUUGCAGCUGUUCCUCUCACAGUCACCAACAUCAUCAUCAUCACCAUGACCAUAGUCAUGAUCAUCACAAUCACCAUCACCACCACCACCACCAUGGUCAUGACGAAGGCGACGGGAAGCUCACGAAAUUUCAGGAGGUAUUUCUCAAGUUCGCAAAUGCUAUCAGAUGGACCCAGUUGGCGAAUUACUUGAGAGAGAAUUUAGAGCUUUGCUGUUGCUCAGCGGUUUUGUUUAUUGCUGCUGCUGUUUGUCCUUACUUUCUUCCCGGGCCCGCUGUACUGCCUCUCCAGCGUAUUUUCGCUCUCAUUGCCUUUCCUCUCGUUGGGGUAUUAGAUCUUCUCUCUUUUCGCUGUUCAUUAUUUUGCAAUCACAAAUGCUUUCAGUAAUACUGUACAAUUGACUUGUUUGAUUGAACAGUUUGACUAUGGAGAUACUCAAAUUUCAAAUGCCUAUAAUGAGAUUAAUUAAGUAGGAGAGUUAUGAUAUAAAUUCAUAAGUCUAAUCUGUUAGUCUCAAAUUUUACCGGAUAGAUUGAGUUACAGAAUUAGUACUGAUUACAAGGUGUCAAGUACGCUACAUUUUAGAACUUUGAAUUUUGGAUCUUUUAAGUCCUCAGAAUCUCUCGUCAAUGGUGUUGUGAAUAUCAAUAUGUGUAAAUCCAUGCAUAAUAUAGUCACAAUUACUAUGUCUUCUCUUGAGAUGAAACAUUAUAAUUCCUUAGGCUAGUUCUAUAAUUAAAGUUUCACUUUAUUGUCAGGUCUCAGCAUCACUUGAUGCAUUAGUGGACAUUACUGGUGGUAAAAUCAAUAUUCAUGUACUCAUGGCUCUCGCAGCUUUUGCAUCAGUUUUUAUGGGGAACGUAUUGGAAGGUGGCUUGCUUCUUGCAAUGUUCAAUUUAGCUCACAUAGGUAAGUAAAAAGUUUGGGAAUGUCCUCUGAGACACUUGGAACUUUUUUAUCUUAUAUAUAUUUGUUUGUGCAGCUGAAGAGUAUUUCACUAGUCGCUCCAAGGGUGACGUAAAGGAAUUAAAAGAAAACCAUCCUGAAUUUGCUCUUGUGCUGCACGUAGACAAUCAAACUUUGCCUAGUUUCACUGACUUGUCAUAUAUUGAAGUUCCUGUGAGUGACCUGGAAGUUGGCUCAUUUAUAUUGGUUAAAGCUGGUGAGGUCUGUAUCCUCUCUUCUUUUCAGUUUAGUUGUGUUAAAAACUCUUCUAUUUUUAUCAGUCUCUUUCAUUUGGGUUAAAUGUGAUAUUUUACAUUAGGGAUGUGUUUGGUAUGGAGGGAAAAUGAGGAAAACAAGUUCCUUAAAAAUGAGUAAAAUGACUUCCCUAAUAAAAGUAGGGAAAACAAGUCCAUGAGUGACAUUCGAAGUUCAUUGUCUCUUCCCCACCCAACAAACAUUGUCACCUCCCACCCGCUGACCGUCCCACCCACCCAUCACCCUGAUCAAAACAUUUUCCUUCACACCCAACACUCCCUAGCUGUUAUGUUCACAUAUGUGCAAUUUAUUCCUACGAAAACUUAGAUCGUAGAUUGUUUGUAUAGCUUGCAGGUUCUAUUUGGGCUGAUGAAGUGACAGAAUAAAUAGCACUGAGUUAAGUAUCGGAUGUAGGAUUCCAAAUUCUCAAUAUAUCUGUGAUCUGACGACUGCUAUGAUUUGUAAUACAAGGCAUACCAAUAAUUUUUUGUGAUACUGUAAAUAGUUUUAUUGAUGUUAGGGUUCCCAUAUAUGAGCAGCAUGCCAAAACAUAGAGAGCGUAUAGUAAAACAUGUUUCUCUACAAUAGUCACCCAAUCAUCUAUUAUCUAUACUAGACAUACCAAUAGUUAAACCUUGGAAGGUAAUAAAAAGUUGAUUUUAUUCUCAAAGUUAGCAUCAAUAUAUAAGAAUGAUUGGCGGCUGGAAUUAUAAGAAUAUAAGGACUAACUCCUGUUGAACUCAUCGAUUGCAACAUCUAGGUUAUCGUAAUUUUAAACUUUGGAGGGUAUCAUUAAUUACUUUGACUAAUACUGACUCUAAGCAGGGAAAGACCACUCCCUAAUACAUAUAUUUUAUUUUAUUUUUCUACUGUUGAAGCAUUCUUUCUAUUUGGAAAAAGUUAAUUAUGUUUUUUUCCAUGAUCAAACUUUGUUUAUUCGAUUUGUAUCUGGUUCCCAACUUCCCAUAAUUUUGGCUUUUAAUUGUACAUUACUACAUUUUGUGCUCCAGUCCUUUUAUCAUGGUUAGCUUCUACACUUGUCUUACUCUUCCUGUUGCUUUGAUCAGUCAGUACCAGUGGAUUGUGAAGUUUCCCGAGGUAGAUCAACAAUUACUAUUGAACAUUUGACGGGAGAAGUCAAACCUUUAGAUAAGAAAGAGGGGGACAAUAUUCCAGGAGGUGCACGAAACCUGGAUGGUAUGUUGAUAGUGAAGGUACGCCCUUCAAUAUUCCAUUAUUUGGAUUGCUUUGAAUUGAUUCAAGUUUAAACAAGUUAAGAAAAAUGUCAGGUUGUAGCCAAGAUUAACUAAAAGAAGACAAAUAUCUCGUAUUUUCCCCUUCUCUUUGGUCGAAGAGAGGAGUUUGUCUAUCUUAGAAUUUCCGAGAAAAAUUGUCAGACGAUUCUGUUGUUUUAAUUAAAAAAAUAUUGUGUUUAUUCUUUGAUUCUAUUGCGGACUAGCCUAUUACAUUUACAUUCUGCUCCAUAUUUUUUGCAUAAUCCUGACUCCACUAUCAGUCCAUCAGAAUGAUUUAUAAAAAAAAGAGAGAGAGAGAAGAAAAAGAAGAAGAAGAGUUCUUUUAUCUUGUGCCUGUGAUAUAGAAGUAGUUUGCCUUGUUAGUUAAUUUCUGAAAAGUAGUUUGACGUCUGUAAUAGCUUAUGCAUUACUAAACAACAGGCUUUGGACACUUUUUGAUUAUGUGGGUGGUUAGUUUUCGAACAAUCAUUGCAAGAUAAUGUAAGAGAGGUAGGGUACCUGGUUCUACUGCUAAUAACUUAUUUUACAACAUCUAGGGAUAAUAUUAGUUGUGGAGUAUUCAGAUAAAAAAUGGUGUUUGCUAUCUUCCCUCGGAGAAACUUCAAAGACGCACCAUGAAGUUGGUACCUCAAAGUUAUGGUCCUAUUUUAAUAAACAAAGUUAAACAGUUAAGGGUUUUGAACUAGAGCACUGUUAUUUAAAGACCACCCAGUUAAUUAGUCUGUUUAAGUCUUUUGUGACCUUUAUUUUUUUUUAUAGGCAAAGAAGACAUGGAAAGAGUCCAUGCUUAGCAGAAUUGUGCAGCUGACAGAAGAGGCUCAGCUAAGUAAACCAAGACUCCAAAGAUGGCUAGAUAAGUUUGGCGAGCAGUACAGUAAAGCAGUUGUGUUAUUAUCUCUAGCAGUUGCUUUUCUUGGUCCAUUCUUUUUCAAAUGGCCUUUCUUUAGUACUACAGGUAAUUUUAGAAGUCUAUAUUUUGCAUAUACUUCUUUAUUUGUCUUUAGUUGUUGCUAUCUGCAUCAGUCUUUCUUGCAUUAAUAAACCGACAUUCCAAUGAAGAAAAAGGGAUUUUAGUACAUAUUUUUUUAGGUGUUAAAUAGGUUAAAAGAACUGUUAUUUACUAUCAAGUAGAACUUAUUUUUAUGAUUUUUAAGCAGGAUGUUUCUACAUGGAUGUAUCCAUUUCAUCAUAUUAUCUCUGUACUGAUUGGUUACCUGGUGUCUUCUUUUCUUUCUUUUUUCCAGCUUGCAGAGGAUCAAUUUACCGAGCAUUGGGCCUCAUGGUAGCUGCAUCACCUUGUGCAUUAGCUGUGGCACCAUUGGCUUACGCAACUGCCAUCAGUGCUUGUGCAAAAAGGGUAUCUUUCCAAAUUGGAAGACAGUCUACUAAUUAACCUUGUGCUGUCAAAUCUUUUCACCAGUCUUUCUUUCAAUAUUCUCCUAAUUACAAGUUACUAAGUUCGAAAAAAAUCAAUCCUACUUAUGGGAAACUUGUAUAAUACCUCAUCAUAGUCAUGCAGUAUGUUUGAAUUUUACUCAUCAUAUACUAUUAUAAAUGCUACUGGCAAUUCUGGCAGCAUCGUUUCUAAAUGUUGUUCUUACUAUGGUAACCUGUAUAAUUCUCAUAACAUUUUCAUUAUUAUAAAUGUUAUUGCCAGGAUCUGAGCAGAGUGAUAUUAUCAAAUGUUGUUUCAGGCUCAGCCAUUUCUGUUCACAGGUUGUGAUGUGGUGAAUUUUCUUUUUAGGGCAUAUUGCUUAAAGGUGGACAGGUACUUGAUGCCUUGGCUUCAUGCCAUAGUAUUGCAUUUGACAAAACUGGUACAUUGACAACAGGGGAGUUCAUGUGCAAAGCAAUUGAACCGAUACAUGGACAUGCUAAGAGUGUUGGAAAAGGAUUUGCUUCUUGUUGUAACCCCAGUUGUGAGAAAGAAGCACUUGCUGUUGCAGCUGCAAUGGAGAGGGGUACAACUCACCCAAUUGGAAGGUGUUAUGAAUGAUAAGCCUCUAUAUAUUUAUUUUUUCGUGAUCUCAUUUAUCUGUUUAUCUGUUUGAUAUGUCUCUGUAUACAUAAAUCUUCAAUGCUCGCCUACACCUUUCUAAAGUUACGAUUCUGUAAUGUUACCUUUUAGUGAGUCUAAUCCUCUUUGCUUCUUCAUUCAUGCAGGGCUGUUGUAGAUCAUAGCACAGGCAAAGACCUUCCUUCAAUUUCAGUUGAAAGUUUUGAGAAUUUACCUGGUAGAGGCAUAAUUGCAACAUUAUCGAGCUUUGAGGUAUUCCUUUUCGUAUCUGCUCACUAUUAAUUCUAAUUUUUUCCAUUCAUUACUUUUUUCGGUUCAUCAAUUGUUAGAAACUUUAAUCAAACAAUAUAGAUGAACACCACAUGGCCUAUUGAUAUUUCAUAUUUCUGUUAUCUGCAUUCUGCAACACACUCUUUUCUUUUUAUCUGUGCCCAGUUUUUUUUCUUAACUUAUAAUUUGCUGUUACUUUAUUCAAUUUGAAAAAAACUUAAUUGUUUAAUGUAUCUGUCCUGUAGCCAAGACUAGGAGGUGGUAAGCCAUGGAAAGCUUUUCUUGGUUCUGUGGAAUACAUCACCUCACUUUGCGACUCCGAAGAUGAAUCAAGAAGAGUUGAGGAGGCAGUAAGUACGUCAUCUCAUGGAGUUGAUUUUGUCCGUGCUGCUCUCUCGGUUAAUAAUCAAAAGGUCAGUUGUUGCUAAUGAGUAUUAAGAAUUCAGAAAUCUACAUUAGCUUUUGAUGGUCUUCAUUUUUUCAGUUUCUUUUAAUUGGAUGCAAUAAGCUUACUUGUACUUCAUACCGUUACAGGGUAAUUUGAUAUUACCAUUCAUUUGUCAGAAUCAAAAUGAUCCUUAGCAUGUUAACUUUAAAAGGAUAGUUUGGGUGACACAUGUAUCAUCUGGUGGGUUGUGAUUCUGUAGCUUAUAGUGAUGAAUUCUAGACUAGUUUAUCCAUUUAUAUAGAUGGACAAACUUUGGACUAAAAUUUGAUGGAAAGGCGUCUUUGGGUUUAAUAUAUCUAGUUGACCACAAAUUUCUCUUCAAAUACACCCUGAAAUUUACAGCAACUAGUUAUAAAUUAACCUUGGAAUGAAAAACUCUCAGAAGAUAAACACUGAACUGCUGCAACUCAGUAAUGCACAUAAAAUUGAAUUGUAAAAACUAUUAAAUACACUUCUUGUAAUAGUGAAGGAUUUGCUUGCUUGUAUUAAUCAUGCUUGCUAUGUUAAGUAUACUCGAUCCUGCGUUCCAAUUUUGUGCACUUUCUGGAGUAAUGUGGUUGUGCAUUUGAAUGAGAUCACAUGACAAAAGUAUGAAGCAGUAAAACAAUUCCAGCAAUAUCCCCUAUAUUAUAGUGGAAGACUGACUCCAUGAAGCACAGGCUAAGCACCCAAAGACUGGCCUCAGUUGAAUGGAUAACCCACAGGGAUGGAACCAAUAUGUUGGUUAUGGGUUUGGUCGAACCUGUGAAUUUGGUCCAAAAUUUGUUUUUGUCUUGGAUAUGUACAAUUUAUCAAUUUAGAACCCAGUAAUUUAAAACAACCAGAAUCCCGAAUCCAUAGACAUCAAAUCCUAUGUCAACUUGUCUCCCAUCAGCACUUCUCUCAUACUCGUCUCCUACUCAAUACUUCUUAUUUAACUUGGUGUAUUUCCUAGAUUUCUUAUACAAAAUUGGAAAUCAGUAUGAGAAACAUCAUAAAAUGGAAGAAACCAGCAGAAUCAGAAAUUGGAAAAUAUGUAAAAAGCUGUGAGUUGGAGCCAAAAGCUAACCUGUUUAACUUUUAAGCAUUAAGAUAUCAAGGCUUCUAAAUAAUGAUGAAACAACAUUUCCCUAAUAAUUGGGGGUAUUGAGAUGUCUUUGCAAUCAAAUCAAAUGUCGGCUUACUGGAUUUUAAGAGUUCUUAUGUAGAAGUAUCUAAUACUUCUCUUGUUAGAAAUUUCCCACAAGCUUCUUUGUCAAUGCCUAGUGCGCUUAUUUUGCUGACUUCAUGUUGGUAACCAGGUAACUCUUUUUCACUUUGAGGAUAAACCUCGACCUGGAGUUUUAGAUGUCAUACAGACAUUGCAGAAUCAAGCUAAACUUCGUGUCAUAAUGUUAACUGGUGACCAUAAAGCAAGUGCAAAGAGAGUUGCUAAAACAGUGGGCAUCAAAGAAGUUAACUGCAGCCUAAAGCCAGAGGAUAAACUUUAUCAUGUUACAAGCAUCUCUAGGGAUACAGGUGAGUCACAAAAGCUGGCAAGGAGAGGUCCUCGUUUCAUGUUUCUCUGACCCAUUUAAAUUUCCAAAUUCUAAACAAAAAAAGUUUUUUGGGAACAACACUUUUUUCACUUAACUAGUUCAUGUUCAUAUUUAAGUCACAUCUUAGUACUCGUGCUAAGUAACGACUUAUCAAAAACUUAUCGGAUUAAAUUAAUACAUAGAUUGGGCAGCUGUGGGUGGCUGCUUCUUUCAAGUUGAUAUCUGUUCUAUGAACCAGGAACUAUCUGUAUGUCUGGUAGUUCCAUGCAAUGAGGUAUCGCUUGCCUAUUUUUAAGCCAUACAGCUUACUGGAUGAAAUGAUACAAUACUUUCCGAGUUAUUCUGUUCAUGUAAACCAGUAGAAGUCACAAGUAGGAUAAUCCUAGUCAUAAUUCUCAUGUUUCUCAACUUUGGGGUCCCAUAAAUGUGAAUGCAUUGGAUGAAAACUUGAGUAGAUGCUGAUCAACUAAAACUUUUCACAGUAAUACAUGUGUCCCCUCCAGCCUAGCUAACCAAUUACUUUACUUUUGAGUAGGAGGCCUUAUAAUGGUAGGUGACGGCAUCAAUGAUGCCCCAGCACUUGCUGCAGCUACUGUUGGUAUUGUACUGGCUGAGCGAGCUAGUGCCGCUGCGGUAGCUGUUGCUGAUGUACUAUUGUUGCAAGACAAUAUUUCUGGUGUCCCAUUUUGUGUUGCAAAAUCUCGCCAAACAACAUCCUUGGUAUUUCCUUUUCCUUCUCGGUAAUCAACAUGUAUCUUUUCUUUUUGCAACUGAUACUCGGCCCCUAUUCUUACAGAUCAAGCAAAAUGUAGUACUUGCUUUGUGUAGCAUUAUUUUGGCAUCUCUUACAUCAGUUAUGGGGUUCCUCCCACUCUGGUUGACGGUAUGACUCUAUUUCAGAUAUUUCUCACCUUAAAUUUGUCCAUCAGUAUAUCUGUCCAGUUUGCUACUGUUCGUCUAUGAGCAGCUAUUAGGUGCAACACAAUCUUACCAAUGUGAAAAUUUUCUUAUAUCUAAUGGUCCAAUUCUUGUUGUUGUUGGAGAAAGAAAUGAAGAAUAGUUAGGAUAAUCUUCCGCAGACUUGCUGCUUUGAAAAAUAAGAGUAUUUUCCUCCCUAGCUUGGGGUGCUACCUUAGUAAAUUCAUCUAAGCUGGUAUGUCCACAUUGCAGGUGCUCUUGCAUGAAGGUGGCACACUUCUUGUUUGUCUUAAUUCCGUUCGUGCGCUAAACCCUCCGACAUGGUCAUGGAGAGAGGAUAUUUCACAAAUCAUUGACAGAUUGCGGUCUCUUAUUAUGUUUUUGAGGCAUGGCACACUACCUAGCACCAUUCAGGCAGCCCAUUUGUAAUUUUUGACUUGCCUUUAGCUGCCCAACUCCCCAAUGCGAUGGAAUGAAGAAUAAUUUCUUCUUGCCGAACAAAGCGAGGAUUCAAGAUGUGAAGAACACUGCACCUAGCAUGUUGAAUUGCCUCAUCAAGUAGAUCGUCAGUCAUGUGUAUAUUCUUAUCCCAUGUUUCUGGUCUGGACUUUCCAUGGUAUAAGAACUAUAUUGAAAUUUUUACUGUAAAAAGUGAUAUGUUGAUGUAGCCAGCAAACUAUUUUAAUGCAGGACGUUAGGGAACAACCAUCAAUCGUACGAUAUUUCUCGUUUUGUGUACAAAAAUUCUACAUGAUUUCCUUAAACGGGUUUCUGGUCUUUAUCUUUCUAUCCGAAUAACAUGGUCAAAUGCUCAAUUUCAGUUGCAGUUGAACUGAACGACUUUUUCAGUGUAACACACAUUACACGGAACUAAAAAUGAGUAAAGGAUGAUCAACUUAAUCGUGAACUAAAUAAUGGGUUAACAAGUAUUUCUUUUUAUUGGUUAAAAAUAGAGUUAAACUUAAUUUUUGGUGCAUACAUUUCGUACCUCUCCAAUUCAGGUUUUGAAACUUUCAGGUCAAUCAUAACAUCCAAAAUUUGAAGAGGUAAAGAGAUACUAAAUAACUUCGGAAAAUAAUAAAGUUAAUAACUUUGCUUCAUUCAAAUCCUUCCCAGCCUUUGCCGUAGAUGUCUUCUCAAAACAUAAUAUUUACUUUAAACUAAGUUUUUCUUGGUUUCUAAAUAUGCCUGAAUAUAAAUUAACAAAAGGUUUUUUUUUUUUAAUCUUUUUAGUAUUUUUUUUCUCUUAUUAGUCCCAGCCUUUGCAUUUCUGCCAUUGGAACAUGGUUUUAUAAUCUCCCUGGCCCUGUACAAUACUCCACCAAAACUAUUUUCUUCUUUUGACGAUUCCACAGUUGAAGCUUAAAGAGCUAACAUGUGCCCUAAAAACAAAGAGAGAAUGAAACAAAGGCGGUUUCUUCCUCCCAUUCACUA
rnacentral:lncRNA from 1 species